rnacentral:lncRNA from 1 species
UUGCUGCUGGGAGUCAAAACACUGGACCGGGCUCAGGGCUGCUCACUUGUUGGCAUGAAAGAUUGUUUUCCUUAACAAGAUGCUGUUCUGCAAAAUCAGCCUUAGGUUUUUGGUGUUAUACCUGGGAUGGUCCCUGUUAUGUGGAAAUUCUAGUGCACAAUGAAGGCAGGCAUUCCUCAAUAGAUCUUCUUCACAGGAGCAGCGACCCUUCUUAUUGUUACCAGCUCUGGACUCCCUUGGUUGGGCUCUGCAGGAAUAUUCCCAUCCAUGAAAGUGUCUGCAAGACUGCCAAAUGGAGACACAAUCUGCAAGAUGAGCUUUGGUACUGUUCCCACACUACUGUGUACUCAAAACGUAGUUUCAGUAUCAGUUCAGUUUUUACUGAUCCAGUACAUGCUAGCUGAAUGUUAAAAGAACACAACUGUAAACCUG